GCCAGACUGACAACAAAUAUAGAAAUCAUAUCACAUCCAUAUAGGGAGUAGUAAAGAUUUGUUGAAACAAUAAUAAAAUAUAUAACACACUGGGAUUGGAUCAGUACUCGAUAUUGGCCGAUACACAAGUUCAUGUAUCGGAAUUGGGAAGCAAAAAAAUGGUACCGGACCAUCUCUAAUGUAUUAACUGAUUUAAACUA